rnacentral:lncRNA from 1 species
GUGGGUAUUGUGACUGCGGUGGUCGAAAGACCUGCUUGUGAACUAUUUGUUGUCUUUUUACAGCAUGCUCAGGGGGAAUUAUCUCACAGGAAGUUUGUCCGCCGAUAUGUGCCAGCUUACCCAGCUUGCCUACUUGUAAAGCAUCUACACCAUAUUUUAUUUCCAUCAUUUAAUGUAUUGUACUUUAUACUUUUCCAAUCAGAUUGUUUUCAGAAAGAACUGUAAACUUCAAUGAAUGUGAAGAACACAGAUUCUGAAGUAAUCCUAGACGGUUUAGAGAUGUCUGACCUAAAAUAUGGUGUGCCAUGUAUACUAGCAAUGUGCGCAACAACAACCUCACAGGUCCAAUACCAGAUGGAAUCGGAAACUGCACGUCCUUUCAGAUCUUGUAUGUCUUUGCAAAGCAAUCCUUAUGUAUUAAA